GUUAAACCUCGCGCGCUGAAGUCGGGGUAUUUUCCUGUAUUACUCUUAUUUUGUUUUUAAAUAUGGGAAGACAAUGCAGAACUCUUGGGAAUUAUCGAGUUCUGAUACCCCAAAAGAAUGAAAUCAAACUUCUGUUAAUGGGAUGAUGGGUCGUGGAAUGGGACACCUUGGGCACUUGCUAACAGGAACAUAGGAAAAUUGGAGUUGAAACUUCGCAGGCUCUGUAAGAAUGUGGAUGACUGCUACAGAAUAAGGC
rnacentral:lncRNA from 1 species